rnacentral:lncRNA from 1 species
GUCGAGGUCCGCCACAAGCUCGCAGCACGUGAGCCGGAGCAGGAAGCUCUGGUCCGGGGACGUCAGUCGCGCGACACCCUCGGAGCGCAAGACAUCGGCGCGGAGCCUCCGGAACUCCGUGUCAGACAGCCUCCGGUGGAGGGACACGAGCCGCGACAUGGUGGCAGUCGCCUCGAAGGCCAGGAUGCUGAGCUCGUCGGCCCUAGUGCCGCCAGCGCUGAAUCGCGACCGCAGUUCGGCGACCCAUGACCCGGCCUCCCGCGAGGGCAUGGCAGCCGGCAGGCCGGUGUGGAGUAGAGGCGAGGCAGAAGGAGAGAGAGGAGGGAGAAGGGUGGUGGGAUUCACGGGGGCAAAAUCAUCUUUUUAUAGGGUAUUUAACGAUUCACGGAUGGAAAAUCCAACAGAGUGUCAUAUAAGGAAUGAAAGUUGAACUUGGUGUCAAAAAGGGAACGAAAAUUUUCUAAGAGCUAAGAAAGAAACAAGUAGUUUUUUAGUGUCAAAUAGGGAAUUAUCUCAAACAAUUUUGUUAUGGGAUCCAAAUGGAGAUCAGACUUUGGUGAAUAACAUUACAUAAGUUCCCCUGAUAAUAAAAGGGGACUUAGUAUAACUGAAUUUCUAUUAGAUUCUACGGAUUUGGAUUAAAAAAUCCUUUCGGUAAC